rnacentral:rRNA from 1 species
CCUACGGGUGGCGGCAGUGGGGAAUAUUGCACAAUGGGCGCAAGCCUGAUGCAGCGACGCCGCGUGAGCGAUGAAGGCCUUCAGGUCGUAAAGCUCUGUCCUAAGGGAAGAAUAAUGACGGUACCUGAGGAGGAAGCCCCGGCUAACUACGUGCCAGCAGCCGCGGUAAUACGUAGGGGGCGGGCGUUAUCCGGAAUCACUGGGCGUAAAGGGUGCGUAGGCGGCCCUGCAAGUCAGGAGUUAAAUGCCUCGGCUCAACCGAGGUCAGCUCUUGAAACUGUAGGGCUUGAGUGCAGGAGUGGAGAGCGGAAUGCCUAGUGUCGCGGUGAAAUGCGUAGGUAUUGGGGGGAACGCCAGUGGCGAAGGCGGCUCUCUGGACUGCAACUGACGCUGAGGCACGAAAGCGUGGGGAGCGAACAGGAUUAGAUACCCGGGUAGUC